GGAAGUAAAAGUCGUAACAAGAUUUCCGUAGGUGAACCUGCGGAAGGAUCAUUAUUGUAUAACCGAGGUGCGAGGGCUGUCGCUGACCCGAAAGGUCGUGCACGCCCGAGUGCCCUCACACACAUCCAUCUCACCCCUAUGUGCACCACCGCGUGGGUCCCCCUUUGGCUUGUUCGGAGGGGGGCUUACGUUUUCACACAAACUUUGUAUGCAGUGUAGAAUGUAUUUUUCGUUUUUGCGAUCACGCAAUCAAUACAACUUUCAACAACGGAUCUCUUGGCUCUC
rnacentral:misc_RNA from 1 species